AGAGUUUGAUCCUGGCUCAGAGCGAACGUUGGCGGCGUGCUUAACACAUGCAAGUCGAGCGAGAAAGCUCUCUUCGGAGAGUGAGUAAAGCGGCGCACGGGUGAGUAACACGUGAGUAACAUGCCUUCAGGCUGGGGAUAACUACCCGAAAGGGUGGCUAAUACCCGAUAAGACCACAGCGGCUUCGGCUGCAGGGGUCAAAGUUCAGGCGCCUGAAGAUUGGCUCGCGGUUCAUUAGGUAGUUGGCGGGGUAAUGGCCCACCAAGCCAAAGAUGAAUAGCUGGUCUGAGAGGAUGAUCAGCCACACUGGGACUGAGACACGGCCCAGACUCCUACGGGAGGCAGCAGUGGGGAAUCUUGCGCAAUGGACGAAAGUCUGACGCAGCAACGCCGCGUGUGUGAUGAAGGCUCUCGGGUCGUAAAGCACUGUCAGGAGGGAAGAACGCAGACGGUACCUCCAAAGGAAGCGCCGGCUAACUCCGUGCCAGCAGCCGCGGUAAUACGGAGGGCGCAAACGUUGCUCGGAAUCAUUGGGCGUAAAGCGUACGUAGGCGGCUUAUCAAGUCUGGUGUGAAAGCCCGGGGCUCAACCUCGGAAUGCCACUGGAAACUGGUAAGCUUGAGAGUGAGAGGGGUUAGUGGAAUUUCUGGUGUAGGGGUGAAAUCCGUAGAGAUCAGAAGGAACACCGGUGGCGAAGGCGACUGACUGGAUCACAUCUGACGCUGAGGUACGAAAGCGUGGUUAGCAAACAGGAUUAGAUACCCUGGUAGUCCACGCCGUAAACGAUGUUCACUAGCUGCUGGGGGCCUUGGCGCUCGCAGUGGCGAAGCUAACGCAUUAAGUGAACCGCCUGGGGAGUACGGUCGCAAGAUUAAAACUCAAAGGAAUU
rnacentral:rRNA from 1 species